GGCCGGCUGGCCUAAUGGUAAGGCGUUGCUCUCCUAUUCCUGGUCCACCAGGGUCAAGCAAAGAUUGCAGGUUCGACCCCUGCGUCGGUCG